rnacentral:rRNA from 1 species
AGGGGAGACUGGAAUUUCCUGGUGUAGCGGUGAAAAUGCGCAGAUAUCAGGAGGAACACCGAUGGCGAAGGCAGGUCUCUGGGCUGUUACUGACGCUGAGGAGCGAAAGCAUGGGGAGCGAACAGGAUUAGAUACCCUGGUAGUCCAUGCCGUAAACGUUGGGCACUAGGUGUGGGGGACAUUCCACGUUUUCCGCGCCGUAGCUAACGCAUUAAGUGCCCCGCCUGGGGAGUACGGCCGCAAGGCUAAAACUCAAAGGAAUUGACGGGGGCCCGCACAAGCGGCGGAGCAUGCGGAUUAAUUCGAUGCAACGCGAAGAACCUUACCAAGGCUUGACAUUCACCGGACCGCCCCAGAGAUGGGGUUUCCCUUCGGGGCUGGUGGACAGGUGGUGCAUGGUUGUCGUCAGCUCGUGUCGUGAGAUGUUGGGUUAAGUCCCGCAACGAGCGCAACCCUCGUUCUAUGUUGCCAGCACGUGAUGGUGGGGACUCAUAGGAGACUGCCGGGGUCAACUCGGAGGAAGGUGGGGAUGACGUCAAAUCAUCAUGCCCCUUAUGUCUUGGGCUUCACGCAUGCUACAAUGGCCGGUACAAAGGGUUGCGAUACUGUGAGGUGGAGCUAAUCCCAAAAAGCCGGUCUCAGUUCGGAUUGAGGUCUGCAACUCGACCUCAUGAAGUCGGAGUCGCUAGUAAUCGCAGAUCAGCAACGCUGCGGUGAAUACGUUCCCGGGCCUUGUACACACCGCCCGUCAAGUCACGAAAGUUGGUAACACCCGAAGCCGGUGGCCUAACCCC